rnacentral:rRNA from 1 species
AGCAGCCGCGGUAAUUCCAGCUCCAAUAGCGUAUAUUAAAGUUGUUGCAGUUAAAAGCUCGUAGUUGAAUUUCGGGAUCAAUAUGUUGGUCGUGCCUUGGUACGUACUGGCAUUAUCGAUUCCUACCUUCUGAAGAACCUCGAUGUCAUUAAUUUGGUGUCUUGGGGAAUCAGGACUGUUACUUUGAAAAAUUAGAGUGUUUAAAGCAGGCUCGCGCUUGAAUACAUUAGCAUGGAAUAAUGAAAUAGGACGUUUGAUUCUAUUUUGUGGUUUCUAGGAUCGACGUAAUGAUUAAUAGGGAUAGUUGGGGCAUUAGUAUUCAAUUGUCAGAGGUUGAAAUUCUUGGGAUUUUUAUUGAAGACUAACUACUGCGAAAAGCAUUUUUGCCAAGGGUAUGUUUUACAUUAAUC